AUGACUAGGGAUAACCUUAGGAAGAGACACAUCAUCAAACCCAUUGAUUGUGUUUACUGCUUGGAACAAGAGUCUUGUUCUCACCUAUUUUUUGAAUGUAUAGUUGCUAAACAUCUCUGGGCCCACAUUGAGGAAUAUUUCUCUAGUCAGAUUGGCUCAUCCUUCGAAUCUGUCGCCAGAUUCUAGAUUGCUACCAAAAAGUGCUCAGUUUUAAACACUGUCAGCUCAGUUGACCUUUGGUGCCUCUGGAAAUAUAGAAAUGCUAUGAUUUUCAGUAACACCUCCUGGAUUUCCAUUCUGCAGGUCUUGAGGUUGAUCAGGAACAUGGUGAGGAACUGGGCGAUUCUCUCCUCCGGAUCGGACAAGGACAAGUUGAUGAGCUUCGUGGAAACCCUAACAAGAUCCCUCCAGAAACCAUUGGCGAUCACUUGUGGCUGA
rnacentral:rRNA from 1 species